CCAAUCCAAACAACCAACUGGGUCGCCAACCCCUCUCAAGCUGGCCCUCAGCAGCUCGCACAGAUCCAGGAGCCGAUCCCGAGACCCCGGCAGCGAGGAUGGCGGCUACCAGGACCGUGCCCCUUCUAGGGGUCGCUCGACGGAACGUUCGUCUCUCAGGGGCCGCAAGGCCCUCACGACCCGCUCCCACUCCAGGGGCCACUCUCGUUCCAGGGGACCUGCAGUUCUGAUCCAGGAGCCUGCUGAUUGUGGUACCACAUGGGCUCACCGGGUCAAAGAAUCACCGAAAAAGGGACCCAAUCGCAUCACAGAAGAAGAUUGGAGCUCUGCCAUCCAGAGCUCAGAACUUUCACGUCAAACCUGAGCUGUCCGGAGAGCCGACGAUGUGGCGGUUAGGAUCGGCCUACCCGUCCCCACGUGGGAGCGGCCCGCAGCUCUGCCCUAGGGCAAAGCUUCUCAGGACCUUGUAAUUAAAGUUCUUUGUCUGUC